AUUGAACGCUGGCGGCAGGCCUAACACAUGCAAGUCGAGCGGAUGGAGGGAGCUUUCUCCUGGCUUCAGCUGCGGACGGGUGAGUAAUUCCUAGGAAUCUGCCUGGUAUUUGGGGAUAACGUCCCUAAAGGGGCGCUAAUACCGCAUACGUCCUUAGGGUGAAAGUGAGGGAUCUUCGGACCUCACGCUAUCAGCUGAGCCUAGGUCGGAUUAGCUAGUUGGUUGGGUAAAGGCUUACCAAGGCGACGAUCCGUAACUGGUCUGAGAGGAUGAUCAGUCACACUGGAACUGAGACACGGUCCAGACUCCUACGGGAGGCAGCAGUAGGGAAUAUUGGACAAUGGGCGAAAGCCUGAUGGAGCAAUGCCGCGUGUGUGAAGAAGGUCUUCGGAUUGUAAAGCACUUUAAGUUGGGAGGAAGGACAGUGAGUUAAUACAUUGCUGUCUUGACGUUACCAAAAGAAUAAGCCCCGGCUAACUUCGUG
rnacentral:rRNA from 1 species